AUUAAAGGUUUUAUUGUUAUCAGCCAGUAAACACAGCCCGACGCAUGCUAGUGGUCUGCCUCAGCUGUGUGUGUGUGUGCGCGUUCAUACAUGAUAUCCAAACUUGUUAGAUUUGCUGCUGUUCUUGGGAUCAUUUGGGUCAUGCAACAGAACAGACAGCUAAAUGUGGCCUCACAUUUGGCUCUAGUACACUUUGGUAUACAGAGGCAUUCAUGGCUGACUGAAUGACUUCACCGUUACCGUGCGUGACACUUGGAGGGAUAUCAUGCACAGCCAUAUUUGGCCAUAUUGCUGGGUUUUUUAUUAUUAUUAUUUCUCUGAAAACUGUAUUAUGUGAUCACGGAUUGAAUCUGUUGGAACGCGUGAGAAGACUAACUGUAGAAUGAUGGACUUCAAUUGUUUGGAAAUGACUUUAUAGCCCAUCUCAGACUGAUGGGCAGCAACAAUUGCUUCUCUGCCAUUAAUGCUUAUAUCUUUCUCUCAUUGGCGUUUUGUUAACAAGCAUCUGAAUGCUUCACACCAGCAAACUGCCAACACGUCUGCUUUUAUAGAGGCGCUCACACUUGAUGAUGAACAAUUAAUCAAGCGCAUUUGAUCAGCAGCACCUGGCUGCUAUUUACCCUGUUAUUUUUUUUUAUGGAAGCAGUCAGUGCAGUGAGUAUUUUACGGGACUCUGUCAUACAGUGUAUGAGAAAAUGUGUUCUGCGUCACAACCAAAUAAUGCGUCUGGGUUUUAAUAACGGACGCUGACAGCGCGAGGCAAUUGGAGCAGAAACAAUCAGCUUCAUUGCCCAAAGCAAUUAGAUAAUUAUAUUCAUAAAGAUUUCCUCAUUUCAUCUUA